CCUGCCUCACAAGGGUUGCUCACAACCGCCUUUCACGGGC
rnacentral:rRNA from 1 species